GAAGACAAGGAGGAGAAGGCAGAGGAAGCAGCCAGCAAGGCGAAGGAAGCAGGGCAUGCUGCCAAGGACAGCGCUGGCGGCAUCGCUUCUGAUGUGGGAGCAUACACCAAGGAGAAGGCUAGAAUUGCUAAAGACUCCCUAAAGGGUGCUAAGGAUUCUGUCUCAGGAAAGGUGAA